rnacentral:misc_RNA from 1 species
CGGUGCAUUCUUGGGGCUGCUUUGGACUUUGGUUGCUUGCUUGGCCUUUGUGUCGGGCGGGUGGUUAUUGCUUCGACGGUUUCGGGGAAUGUCGACCGUAAAGGUGCAUGAGUGGUGUUUGGUUUGUUAUGGGUGGUUGGCUGUCUGCUUGUGCAGCAACGUCCACGCGUGCAUACCUCUUCAGUUCUGCUGCAUGGCUUGAUUGCUUUGCGCAUUCCGUGGGUUUCUUGUGUUGCAUACCUGGUCGAAGGCAUUGUAUGGAUUGAUCGAAGUACCUUUUCGUCGUGCUAUGCUUACGUGUAACGUGAUGAACCUCGAAGCGGUCUCUGUUGUCCAUAUCUUUGAUGCUCAUGCGUCGGUGACUUGGCCCAUGGAGCGUCGCUUGGUCUCUCGGAUACGGAAGCUGAUGUGGGCAUGGGGUCUUGUAUGAGAUCCUGUAUUUGCCCUCGUUAAGCGUUCUCGCUUCUCAAAACGACCGCCCAUUGCGUCUCGGCUUGUCCGUGUGUGGUGGGCUACGUUGAUGAGGA